rnacentral:rRNA from 1 species
AUACGGAAGGUCCGGGCGUUAUCCGGAUUUAUUGGGUUUAAAGGGAGCGCAGGCGGAGAUGCAAGCGUGACGUCAAAUUUCGGGGCUCAACCCCGUCUCGCGUCGCGAACUGCGUCCCUUGGUUGCGGGAAGGGGAGGCGGAACUCGUGGUGUAGCGGGUAAAUGCAUAGAUAUCACGAAGAACUCCGAUCGCGAAGGCAGCCUUCCGGCCCGUCAACGACGCUCAUGCUCGAAGGUGCGGGUAUCAAACAGGAUUAGAUACCCUGGUAGUCCGCACAGUAAACGAUGGACACCCGCGGUUUGGCCUAUAUGGCUGAGCCGCCAAGCGAAAGCGUUAAGUGUCCCACCUGGGGAGUACGCCGGCAACGGUGAAACUCAAAGGAAUUGACGGGG